AACGUACGCUGGCGGCACGCCUAACACAUGCAAGUCGAACGAAGUAGCAAUACUUAGUGGCAGACGGGUGAGUAACAUGUGGGUAUCUGCCCUUUGGCCUGGAAUAACACGAGGAAACUUGUGCUAAUACCGGAUAAGUCUUUACGGAGAAAGCUUUAUGCACCAUUGGAUGAGCCCGCACUUGAUUAGUUUGUUGGUGGGGUAAUGGCCUACCAAGACUGUGAUCAAUAGCUGAUUUGAGAGGAUGAUCAGCCACAUUGGGACUGAGACACGGCCCAAACUCCUACGGGAGGCAGCAGUGGGGAAUCUUGCACAAUGGAGGAAACUCUGAUGCAGCGAUGCCGCGUGAGUGAAGAAGGCCCUUGGGUUGUAAAGCUCUUUCGUCGGGGAAGAAAAUGACUGUACCCGAAUAAGAAGGUCCGGCUAACUUCGUGCCAGCAGCCGCGGUAAUACGAAGGGACCUAGCGUAGUUCGGAAUUACUGGGCUUAAAGAGUUCGUAGGUGGUUGAAAAAGUUAGUGGUGAAAUCCCAGAGCUUAACUCUGGAACUGCCAUUAAAACUUUUCAGCUAGAGUAUGAUAGAGGAAAGCAGAAUUUCUAGUGUAGAGGUGAAAUUCGUAGAUAUUAGAAAGAAUACCAAUUGCGAAGGCAGCUUUCUGGAUCAUUACUGACACUGAGGAACGAAAGCAUGGGUAGCGAAGAGGAUUAGAUACCCUCGUAGUCCAUGCCGUAAACGAUGUGUGUUAGACGUUGGAAAUUUAUUUUCAGUGUCGCAGCGAAAGCGAUAAACACACCGCCUGGGGAGUACGACCGCAAGGUUAAAACUCAAAUGAAUUGACGGGGACCCGCACAAGUAGUGGAGCAUGUGGUUUAAUUCGAAGAUACGCGCAGAACCUUACCAACACUUGACAUGUUCGUCGCGACUCUAAGAGAUUAGAGUCUUCGGUUCGGCCGGACGAAACACAGGUGCUGCAUGGCUGUCGUCAGCUCGUGUCGUGAGAUGUUGGGUUAAGUCCCGCAACGAGCGCAACCCUCACUUUUAGUUGCCAUCAUUAAGUUGGGCACUCUGAAAGAACUGCCAGUGAUAAGCUGGAGGAAGGUGGGGAUGACGUCAAGUCCUCAUGGCCCUUACGUGUUGGGCUACACACGUGCUACAAUGGUAUCUACAACAGGAAGCAAGACUGCGAGGUCAAGCAAAUCCUUAAAAGAUACCUCAGUUCGGAUUGCACUCUGCAACUCGAGUGCAUGAAGCUGGAAUUACUAGUAAUCGUGGAUCAGCGUGCCACGGUGAAUGCGUUCCCGGGUCU
rnacentral:rRNA from 1 species